GCCCCUGUGGCGCAGUGGACUAGCGCGUUGGGCUUCUAACUCAAAGGUCGUGGGUUCGACCCCCACCAGGGGCG
rnacentral:tRNA from 1 species